rnacentral:tRNA from 1 species
UUCUUUUUGGCAGAUUAAUGCAUUUGAUUUAGAGUCAAAUUAUAAUUUUUUAUUAAAAG